rnacentral:rRNA from 1 species
UACGUAGGGUGCGAGCGUUGUCCGGAUUUAUUGGGCGUAAAGAGCUCGUAGGCGGUGUGUCACGUCGGCCGUGAAAACCUGGGGCUUAACUCUGGGCGUGCGGUCGAUACGGGCAUCACUAGAGUUCGGCAGGGGAGACUGGAAUUCCUGGUGUAGCGGUGAAAUGCGCAGAUAUCAGGAGGAACACCGGUGGCGAAGGCGGGUCUCUGGGCCGAUACUGACGCUGAGGAGCGAAAGCAUGGGUAGCGAACAGG